UAUCUGUAAUAGGAGAGUGCCUUGACAAU
rnacentral:piRNA from 1 species